rnacentral:rRNA from 1 species
UUAAAUUGAAGAGUUUGAUCAUGGCUCAGAUUGAACGCUGGCGGCAGGCCUAACACAUGCAAGUCGAACGGUAACAGGAAUCAGCUUGCUGAUUCGCUGACGAGUGGCGGACGGGUGAGUAAUGUCUGGGAAACUGCCUGAUGGAGGGGGAUAACUACUGGAAACGGUAGCU